GGUUCUCUCUCAACUCUCUUGGCUCUAUCUCUCUCUUCAGCCCUUCUCUCUCCCUCGUGUAACUCUCUCUCUCUCCGACGCAAUCGUCUUUCUCCCUCAGCGGUGGCUAUUCAUCCAAGCUUAACUCCACGAUUCACAUCCACGAGAUGUUCACAUAUUAACUGGUGAAAAUAAUUGAACAGAGAAAAUCCAAUGAUGCAGAAGUCGAGUCACUGCGAGAGGAAUACCAUCAAAGGGUUGCAACACUUGAAAGGAAGGUGUAUGCUCUUACAAAGGAAAGGGACACGCUUCGGCGGGAGCAGAAUAGGAAAAGUGAUGCAGCUGCUCUUCUGAAGGAAAAGGAUGAAAUAAUUAAUCAAGUUAUGGCUGAAGGUGAAGAGCUUUCAAAAAAGCAGGCUGCUCAAGAAGGACAGAUUAGGAAAUUAAGGGCUCAGAUCAGAGAGUUUGAAGAAGAGAAGAAAGGGUUGAUUACUAAACUUCAGGUAAUUCAUUUAUGUUGGAAUCUUUAAAAUUGUGGUUCUCUGAUUUCGUUUGAUAAAGACAACUCUUGACCAGCAUAUUGAAGAGCAAUUUGGUUGUGGUCGUCUAUUGGCUUGUAUCUCAUCACGACCUGGACAGUGGCUGUGCUGAUGGGAUGGGAAAACAUUGGACAACGAGCUGGAGGUUGUUGAGGGAAUGAAGCUAGACAGGGGCUACAUAUCCCCUUAUUUCAUCACCAACCAGAACAAUCAGAAAUGUGAAUUGGAAAAUCCUCUAAUCAUAAUCCAUGAGAAGAAAAUCUCAAGUAUUAAUGAUGUGGUUAAAGUAUUGGAGUUGGUUUUGCAGUUAUGAUUUCAGAUAUGUAGAUAACCUGUUGUUGCUGAUAUUGCUACACGGGAGGAGAACAGAACAACUUGGAAAAUGUGCAAGAAGGGAGAGCUAACUCAUACAACGAAGAACAAAUUGAUGAAGUUAAGAUCAAAUUAGUAGAAUUUGUGAGCUCUCCAUUAUUUAUAAUUAUAGGUGGGAAGUAUGUAUGUAAUAGAGCAAAGAUUGGUUGACUAUGUAAUAACAAUUGAAUUGUCAAGUUUUAUGAAAGAAAUAAUUUUUGCUUCUUGGGA